rnacentral:rRNA from 1 species
AUUGAACGCUGGCGGAAUGCUUUACACAUGCAAGUCGAACGGCAGCACGGACUUCGGUCUGGUGGCGAGUGGCGAACGGGUGAGUAAUACAUCGGAACGUGCCCAGUCGUGGGGGAUAACGUAGCGAAAGCUACGCUAAUACCGCAUACGAUCUACGGAUGAAAGCGGGGGAUCGCAAGACCUCGCGCGAUUGGAGCGGCCGAUGGCAGAGUAGGUAGUUGGUGGGGUAAAGGCUCACCAAGCCGACGAUCUGUAGCUGGUCUGAGAGGACGACCAGCCACACUGGGACUGAGACACGGCCCAGACUCCUACGGGAGGCAGCAGUGGGGAAUUUUGGACAAUGGGCGCAAGCCUGAUCCAGCCAUUCCGCGUGCAGGAUGAAGGCCCUCGGGUUGUAAACUGCUUUUGUACGGAACGAAAAGGCUCUGGUUAAUACCCGGGGCUCAUGACGGUACCGUAAGAAUAAGCACCGGCUAACUACGUGCCAGCCGCCGCAGUAA